UAGGGAAUCUUCCGCAAUGGGCGAAAGCCUGACGGAGCAACGCCGCGUGAGUGAUGAAGGUCUUCGGAUCGUAAAACUCUGUUAUUAGGGAAGAACAAAUGUGUAAGUAAAUAUGCACGUCUUGACGGUACCUAAUCAGAAAGCCACGGCUAACUAAGGGCCAGCAGCCGCGGUAAUACGUAGGUGGCAAGCGUUAUCCGGAAUGAUUGGGCGUAAAGCGCGCGUAGGCGGUUUUUUAAGUCUGAUGUGAAAGCCCACGGCUCAACCGUGGAGGGUCAUUGGAAACUGGAAAACUUGAGUGCAGAAGAGGAAAGUGGAAUUCCAUGUGUAGCGGUGAAAUGCGCAGAGAUAUGGAGGAACACCAGUGGCGAAGGCGACUUUCUGGUCUGUAACUGACGCUGAUGUGCGAAAGCGUGGGGAUCAAACAGG
rnacentral:rRNA from 1 species